UACAGAGGGUGCGAGCGUUAAUCGGAAUUACUGGGCGUAAAGCGCGCGUAGGCGGUUAUGUAAGUUGGAUGUGAAAUCCCCGGGCUUAACCUGGGCACUGCAUUCAAAACUGCAUAGCUAGAGUAUGGGAGAGGAUGGUAGAAUUCCAGGUGUAGCGGUGAAAUGCGUAGAGAUCUGGAGGAAUACCGAUGGCGAAGGCAGCCAUCUGGCCUAAUACUGACGCUGAGGUGCGAAAGCAUGGGGAGCAAACAGG
rnacentral:rRNA from 1 species